rnacentral:rRNA from 1 species
AUGAACGCUGGCGGCGUGCCUAAUACGUGCAAGUCGAGCGCACAGAUGAGGAGCUUGCUCCUCUGACGUUAGCGGCGGACGGGUGAGUAACACGUGGAUAACCUACCUAUAAGACUGGGAUAACUUCGGGAAACCGGAGCUAAUACCGGAUAAUAUAUUGAACCGCAUGGUUCAAUAGUGAAAGACGGUUUUGCUGUCACUUAUAGAUGGAUCCGCGCCGCAUUAGCUAGUUGGUAAGGUAACGGCUUACCAAGGCAACGAUGCGUAGCCGACCUGAGAGGGUGAUCGGCCACACUGGAACUGAGACACGGUCCAGACUCCUACGGGAGGCAGCAGUAGGGAAUCUUCCGCAAUGGGCGAAAGCCUGACGGAGCAACGCCGCGUGAGUGAUGAAGGUCUUCGGAUCGUAAAACUCUGUUAUUAGGGAAGAACAAAUGUGUAAGUAACUAUGCACGUCUUGACGGUACCUAAUCAGAAAGCCACGGCUAACUACGUG